rnacentral:rRNA from 1 species
GACGAACGCUGGCGGCGUGCUUAACACAUGCAAGUCGAACGGAAAGGCCCUGCUUUUGUGGGGUGCUCGAGUGGCGAACGGGUGAGUAACAAGUGAGUAACCUGCCCUUGACUUUGGGAUAACUUCAGGAAACUGGGGCUAAUACCGGAUAGGAGCUCCUGCUGCAUGGUGGGGGUUGGAAAGUUUCGGCGGUUGGGGAUGGACUCGGGGCUUAUCAGCUUGUUGGUGGGGUAGUGGCUUACCAAGGCUUUGACGGGUAGCCGGCCUGAGAGGGUGACCGGCCACAUUGGGACUGAGAUACGGCCCAGACUCCUACGGGAGGCAGCAGUGGGGAAUAUUGCACAAUGGGCGGAAGCCUGAUGCAGCAACGCCGCGUGCGGGAUGACGGCCUUCGGGUUGUAAACCGCUUUCGCCUGUGACGAAGCGUGAGUGACGGUAAUGGGUAAAGAAGCACCGGCUAACUACGUG